CAGAAUAAACCUCAUCCCUUCAGCCUGCAGAAGAUGGACCCAGUCAUCGCCCUCUGGUCUGUAGGGGAUCCUAUGGGACCGGUUGGAUCUGAUCCGCCUGUGACAUGACGUGGGUUUGGGCUUGUCGUUAGUGCUCGCAGCUGGAAACUGGAUGCAGAGCAAGCCUGGAAAAGUCCAGCCCUGAGGUUUAUCAGUGCCUGAAGAGCGCUGAGAAGGAAAACCCAUCCCACAACCUGGAGCGGAGCGCGGCACUUGCAUGGAGAAGAUGCAAGGGGAGCUUCUUGUCCCACGCCUGGUGGUCAAGCUCUGUGGCCGCAUGAGAAGGGCUUUGAAAGUGUCAGGCAGUGCAUGGGGACGGGGCAGCACCACCGCGAGCUGGGUGUGGAGGUGCUGGGGUCUCACCAGGUCCCCAAACCCAGCUUUGCUGGGACAUCAUCCCCUUACCCCCAGCACCGAGGUCUGCACGUGGUGGAAAUGCUGGGAUGUGCUGGGACAUUUUGGGUGGCAGGGGGACCAACCGGUCAGUGGGACCCUCUCUGUGACCCACAUACCUCUCCCCACCCACCCUCUUACCCCAUCCAUCCUUCCCAAAAUCCAGCAAAGGAGCCAGCAACCAGAAGGCCGACAGCAUCAAAAAAUAAAGCAGCAGGCACCGAGCAAAACCACGGGGCCAUUAACACAGCGAUCAAAUCCACCUCUGGGGGUGACACCGCGCACUUUUUGCAAACUCCAUCCUUGCAUCCCUGUGCCCCUGCCCCUCAGCCUGGCCAUGUGCUGGAGCCUGGGUGCACCGAGCAUCUCCUGACUCGUCUACAAACAACAUCAGGGCACACAUGGCCCCGCCGUGGGCUGCUCUUCCUCCAGCCUCUGCCUCUAUUUGCUGUGUCUCGAUGUUGUUGUUGUCGCGGGUGGUUCUUUAUGGCUGGUGGGGCUGAUCUUGACUUGGAGAGUGAGUCAUUACGUGGCAAAUGGGAUCCAAUCACGGAGACAUUAUUUCCUUGCCCGGUGUUCUUUGCAAAUGAGAUUUUGCAGAACUUGA